GCGCCAAUAGCUCAGCAGGAUAGAGCAACUGCCUUCUAAGCAGUAGGUUGAGGGUUCGAGUCCCCCUUGGCGUGCCA
rnacentral:tRNA from 1 species